GGAAGAGUCAAAGCGCCCCCUGCUGUUGGGAGCAGCCUGGCCCGCCUAGGCCCGAGGCCAGGGAGAAGGGCGCUGCCCCGGCUCAGAAAUGCAGGGCUGCUGACUCCCAAGCAUGUAGGGGGAGACUGAGGCCUGGGGAGGGGGCAGCGAGCACUGUGCCAGACCACGACCGGUGCCCUGGUUAUAGGAGGACAAGGCAGCGUCGCUCAGCAACACUGGUCCCGAGAGCUCCAGGCUGGUUUAGGACUUCAGAGGGGGCAGGAAGGACCCCGACCAGGGAGAACUGUCAGCCCAGCCACGGGCUCUGGUCCCACUCAAGGCAAGGGGGUCCUGAGCAGGGCUGGGGUCCUAGAUGGCCCGGGCCCCGCAGAGCGGGUGGGGCCGGCCCCAUCGUGGCCGCAAGUAUCUGAGAGCAGCAAGGACCCCGAGCAGGCUGGGCAGGGGUAGUGAGGUGGGGCUUGCACGCAGCCCCCGUUGGGCCCACUGGGGUUGAGGCCGGCACACACAUCCACACAUCUGGAAAGUGUGUCCUCCCACCCCACUCUCCGGCAUGCACAUCUGGAAAUACCUGCUCCCCUCCGUGGGAAUGGAGAUCAGCCAGCCCCGAGGGAGGAAGGGGCGGCGGCGGCUCUCAGCCUCCAUUACGGAAGCGGCCGCAGCUGUGUGCUGAUGUGGCAGCACUCGGCUUGGCCCCGCAGCUGCCUGGAUGGGGCCCAGGGGCCCUGGAGAGCCCCAGAAUGAGGUUUCCUCGCGGCCCUUUGCCGGCCACCAUGCUGUCUCGCCCUCUUCCUCCCUCCCCUCCUUUCUCCCCCUUUCCUGGCCAUGGGGGCAUUUCAGGGGCGGCUUGGAAAGGGGAGGAUGGGGUGGCUGCUCAGGCACAGGCUGAGGGCCUGAAGGGAGCCUGCUGUGCCCUGCUCUGCCCAGCGCCCACCCUCGAGGCCCGGCGGGAGCCCCGCUCUGCCCACUGCCCACCCUCGGGGCCCUCACUCACUUGUCCUCUUGCUCCCCCUCAGGACUCCUGCACCGGGGGGGUUCUCUGCUGUCCGAGGCGCCCUGGACCCCCUCAUGCUCCUGCCGCUGCUCUGGCCUCUGGGACCAGUCGCCAAAGCCCUCGUCCUCAUCCAGUUCAGGGGCCUCCGAGGGCUUCAGGCUGAGGCUGAGGGUAGCAGGGGGGAGCUUAGGACUGGGCGGCUGCUGCCUCCUCUGCUCGGGGCCCACACUCACCUCAUGGCACCUGCUCAGGCCCUGGGCUCCAAGUGUGGGAGACCCUGUCUGCCACAGAGCUGGCUCUGGGCUGUGUCUCCUGUGGUUAGAGAAUCCCUGAGGGUAGGGCUGUGCCUCCCCCAUCAGUCUGGGGCAGCCUGACAACUGUGCUUCCUCCAUCAGUUCAGGACUCCUUGAGGCUUGGCAGGGUUGUGCCUCCUCCAUCAGUCUGGGGCUACCUGAGGGCAGGACUAUGCCUCUCCCAUCAGUUUGGGGUUCCCUGAGGGCUGCUGACUCGGAGAAAAUGGAACAAAAGAGGCCAGGAGGAAGGGGAGCAUUAUUGGAAAAACAGCCCAGCCCAGCCGCGGAGGCCUCCUGGGCCCAAGGAGGAAGCAAGCCAGCCUGGCCGCCAAGUUGGACGUGGCUCUCGUUUCGCUCUUGUUGCCCAGGCUGGAGUGCAAUGGCACG